rnacentral:lncRNA from 1 species
GUUGAAGUCCUAACUUCGAAGUUGGGCCCAAUUACCCUAAAUUUGGGCCAUAAAGUGAAAAGUAGUAAAGAGGGAGCCCACAUAUGUCACUAGUGGGCUGGAGGUCCGAAAAGUAAUACUUACUUUUUACUUUAUGUCCUUUCACUUCUAGAAGGCACUUUAUGUCUCCUUCCUUCUAGAAGGGACUUUAAUGGGGUUCAGUCUGUACCCAAGAUAUGCUCAGGAUAUCAGACUGUCAGAGUCUGUACCUAAGAUCUGCUUAAUAUAUCUACUUGUCAGAGCUUGCUUU